CACUCCUGCGGGAGGCAGCAGUGGGGAAUAUUGCACAAUGGGCGCAAGCCUGAUGCAGCCAUGCCGCGUGUAUGAAGAAGGCCUUCGGGUUGUAAAGUACUUUCAGCGGGGAGGAAGGCGAUAAGGUUAAUAACCUUGUCGAUUGACGUUACCCGCAGAAGAAGCACCGGCUAACUCCGUGCCAGCAGCCGCGGUAAUACGGAGGGUGAAAGCGUUAAUCGGAAUUACUGGGCGUAAAGCGCACGCAGGCGGUCUGUCAAGUCGGAUGUGAAAUCCCCGGGCUCAACCUGGGAACUGCAUUCGAAACUGGCAGGCUAGAGUCUUGUAGAGGGGGGUAGAAUUCCAGGUGUAGCGGUGAAAUGCGUAGAGAUCUGGAGGAAUACCGGUGGCGAAGGCGGCCCCCUGGACAAAGACUGACGCUCAGGUGCGAAAGCGUGGGGAGCAAACAGGAUUAGAUACCCUAGUAGUCCCAUG
rnacentral:rRNA from 1 species